rnacentral:lncRNA from 1 species
GAGAAAGAACUCGGUUUCUGUUAGUAUUCACUUAAAAAUUGUUAUCAUCUAAAUGUAAGUCCAAAACCAAAAUAUUAGGUUGUUUCCUUUUGUCUUGAGAAUUAGUCUGGUGAAUGACUUUCGUUACUCUUGUUGUUGUCCUAAAAUGAGGAAAGUACUUUAAGAUCAUACUGUAAAAACAGUACGUCUCAAAGUGUUUUGCAGCCUUGUUGCCAGCAUUUGGGGGACCAGAAUUUGGGGCGCCCUUGUACAACCACUCUCUGGAGGCUUUGAGUAGGUCCUUAUUAGCCUGAUAAACCAAAGCCUGUUUUAUGUGCAGAGACCCUUUAUAGCUUUCCUUGUAUUUAUUGACUUCACUCUGUCACACUUUUGUGAUGUUUAGUGUAAUAUAGUAAAGUAAAAGUUAUUACUUACAUCAUGAAUACAGGCAAGUCAAUGACCCCUAGCAAAGGCUGGAGACCUGGUGUUUUUGGUUUUGCAUAGACUUAGAUCAAGAGACAAGCAGGUUUGUGUUUUCAGGGACACAAAAAAAAAAAACUGAGAAAAAAUAAUGGCUUGUUGGUUUUGAUUUUGGUUUGGCUUCUUUUAUCCCCUCAGUCUUGGAAACCCAAGGACAUCAUGGUGUCAAGCUGUAAGAGCUGUAAAGAGCUGGAUCUUGUACCUUGGAUUGACUUUCCUUGGUUGUAGGUGAAACCAGGACAGGCAGGACAGGAGGCUGCAGCAGCCAAGAAUUUGUCUCGGUUAUGAGAGCUGUUUCAGGGUGAGUAAAUGGGUCUUUCUUGGGACUUAGAGUUGGGUGGUUGUGACUCCAAAGAUGGUUGAAUUC